UGCGUCACGACGCCGCCAGCUGAUCGGAGUCUGUAGCCGGUGUGUGCUGGGCGCCGAGAAGAGACAGCGCCGCCGGCCGUGGGGAGCGGACGCAGUGAUUUGCUCCCCUCCGCGCAGCAGCCCCCACACCCAGCACCAGGAGCUCGCGCCUCUCACACCCUCACCUGGCUGAGCCGCAGUAGUUCUUCAGUGGCAAGCUUUAUGUCCUCACCCCGCUAAAGCUGCCAGUUGAAGAACUGUUGCCCUCUGCCCCUGGCUUCGAGGAAGACAAGGAGGAGCUGCUUUCCCCAGCAUCUGGAAGGUGACAGAACCGGGGCUGGGAAGGUCCGCACGGCAGGGUUGGUGAUACGUUUUGGGAAAGCUGGAGAGCCUUUGCCCAGAUGGGCCCGCAAGGAGCAGUUUUUAGAUUAGCGACACUGGCUGAAUUGAGGAGGAGAAGGCUCAAACAACCCAAGGUUAGUUGGUCUUUGUGUGGCAGUGGGAAGGCGUGGA